rnacentral:tRNA from 1 species
AUAUUCUUUAGGGUUGCUAACUCAAUGGUAGAGUACUUCUACUUCAUCCGACUAGUUCCGGGUUCGAAUCCC